AUGAGACAAAAGAUCCUCUUUCUAAAGAGAUUCAAUUCGGAACUUUUAUAUGUCCAAGGUCAAUAUGGAAAUUCUUUCAGAGGGUUUUUCUUACUUUGUCCGCGUUUGAGGGCCGGCGUUGGAGAUGCCCUUACAAUGAUACCCCGCAAAAAGAGUAAGAAUCAUUACGGUCAACGAUCUAGAAAAACCACUGACCAACUACUCGUACUAGUAAUGCAACGCCAAUGCACGUGUUGA
rnacentral:rRNA from 1 species